AAACAUCGCCUCCUGCCACCACUAAUUAUAGGAGGUCCCGCCUGCCCUGUGACCAAAAGUUUAACGGCCGCGGUAUUUUAACCGUGCAAAGGUAGCGCAAUCAAUUGUCUUUUAAAUGGAGACCUGUAUGAAUGGCAUAACGAGGGUUUAACUGUCUCUUUUUCCCAGUCAAUGAAACUGAUCUGCCCGUGCAGAAGCGGGUAUAUACACACAAGACGAGAAGACCCUAUGGAGCUUUAGACGCCAACCAACCACGAAAAGCGACCACUGACUGGGCCCUCAAACAACGUGAUUAUGGCACAAGCGUCUUCGGUUGGGGCGACCACGGGAGAUAACAAAGCUCCCGAGUGGAUAGGGGGACACCCUAAAACCCAGAGCCACAGCUCUAAGUCACAAAAUAUUUGACCAAUAAUGAUCCGGCUUUAUGCCGACCAACGGACCAAGUUACCCUAGGGAUAACAGCGCAAUCCCCUCCCAGAGUCCAUAUCGACGAGGGGGUUUACGACCUCGAUGUUGGAUCAGGACAUCCUAAUGGUGCAGCCGCUAUUAAGGGUUCGUUUGUUCAACGAUUAA
rnacentral:rRNA from 1 species